rnacentral:rRNA from 1 species
UACGAAGGGUGCAAGCGUUAAUCGGAAUUACUGGGCGUAAAGCGUGCGUAGGCGGUUCGUUAAGUCUGAUGUGAAAGCCCUGGGCUCAACCUGGGAAUGGCAUUGGAUACUGGCGGGCUAGAGUGCGGUAGAGGGGGGCGGAAUUCCCGGUGUAGCGGUGAAAUGCGUAGAGAUCGGGAGGAACAUCUGUGGCGAAGGCGGCACCCUGGACCAGCACUGACGCUGAGGCGCGAAAGCGUGGGGAGCGAACAGG